rnacentral:rRNA from 1 species
GAUGAACGCUGGCGGCGUGCCUAAUACAUGCAAGUCGAGCGAACAGACGAGGAGCUUGCUCCUCUGACGUUAGCGGCGGACGGGUGAGUAACACGUGGAUAACCUACCUAUAAGACUGGGAUAACUUCGGGAAACCGGAGCUAAUACCGGAUAAUAUAUUGAACCGCAUGGUUCAAUAGUGAAAGACGGUUUUGCUGUCACUUAUAGAUGGAUCCGCGCCGCAUUAGCUAGUUGGUAAGGUAACGGCUUACCAAGGCAACGAUGCGUAGCCGACCUGAGAGGGGGUGCGGCCCCACUGGAACUGAGCCCCGGCCCGGGACCCUGCGGGAGGCCGGAGGGGGGAAUUUUCCGCAAGGGGCGAAAGUUUGAAGGAGCAACGCCGGGGUGGUGAUAAAGGUCUGCGGCUCGUAAAACGCUUUUAUUGGGGAAAAAAAAAUGGGUAAGUAACUAUGCGCGUCUGGCGGUAACCGAAUCAGAAGGCCCGGGUAACUUCGUG